rnacentral:rRNA from 1 species
AGUAAAUAGAUACCCCGGUAGUCCACGCCGUAAACGAUGUCGACUUGGAGGUUGUGCCCUUGAGGCGUGGCUUCCGGAGCUAAACGCGUUAAAGUCGACCGCCUGGGGAGUACGGCCGCAAGGUUAAAACUCAAAUGAAUUGACGGGGGCCCGCACAAGCGGUGGAGCAUGUGGUUUAAUUCGAUGCAACGCGAAGAACCUUACCUACUCUUGACAUCCAGAGAACUUUCCAGAGAUGGAUUGGUGCCUUCGGGAACUCUGAGACAGGUGCUGCAUGGCUGUCGUCAGCUCGUGUUGUGAAAUGUUGGGUUAAGUCCCGCAACGAGCGCAACCCUUAUCCUUUGUUGCCAGCGGUUAGGCCGGGAGCUCAAAGGAGCUGCCAGUGAUAAACUGGAGGAAGGUGGGGAUGACGUCAAGUCAUCAUGGCCCUUACGAGUAGGGCUACACACGUGCUACAAUGGCGCAUACAAAGAGAAGCGACCUCGCGAGAGCAAGCGGACCUCAUAAAGUGCGUCGUAGUCCGG